UUCCUUAUAAACAUCAAAACAUUGAGCUUACAUCCCAAGCUCCAUCUCAGAAUCUGCUUCCAGAGAACCUGGCCUGUGGUAGCAGCAGUGCCCAAGUCCUGAGCUUUGACAAGGAGAUAGCGGACAUUGUGGGUGUUUUCUAACUGCGUGUGAGUGAAAUGCAACGGGACAAGAAAGUGCAAAUGAUUCCAGUAAAAUGACCAAAAGGGAGAGAAGGAAGGAGGAACAGCAGCAGCAAAAGUGAC